CACGUAGGGCGCAAGCGUUGUCCGGAAUUAUUGGGCGUAAAGAGCUCGUAGGCGGUUUGUCGCGUCGGCUGUGAAAACUCGGGGCUCAACCCCGAGCCUGCAGUCGAUACGGGCAGACUAGAGUGCUGUAGGGGAGACUGGAAUUCCUGGUGUAGCGGUGAAAUGCGCAGAUAUCAGGAGGAACACCGGUGGCGAAGGCGGGUCUCUGGGCAGUAACUGACGCUGAGGAGCGAAAGCGUGGGGAGCAAACAGG
rnacentral:rRNA from 1 species